rnacentral:rRNA from 1 species
AACGAACGCUGGCGGCAUGCCUAACACAUGCAAGUCGAACGAGACCUUCGGGUCUAGUGGCGCACGGGUGCGUAACGCGUGGGAACCUGCCCUUAGGUUCGGAAUAACUCCCCGAAAGGGGUGCUAAUACCGGAUAAUGUCUUCGGACCAAAGAUUUAUCGCCUUUGGAUGGGCCCGCGUUGGAUUAGCUAGUUGGUAGGGUAAAAGCCUACCAAGGCGACGAUCCAUAGCUGGUCUGAGAGGAUGAUCAGCCACACUGGGACUGAGACACGGCCCAGACUCCUACGGGAGGCAGCAGUGGGGAAUAUUGGACAAUGGGCGAAAGCCUGAUCCAGCAAUGCCGCGUGAGUGAUGAAGGCCUUAGGGUUGUAAAGCUCUUUUACCCGGGAUGAUAAUGACAGGACCGGGAGAAGAAACCCCGGCUAACUCCGG